UUUGCAGUUUGCCUAAGCUGAUGUCGCAUUUUUCACCCCAUAUUUGAGGCAAUACGGAAAAUUUAUGCCAAGUGCCUUGGGAUGCGGUAAAGGAGGAGGAGCACACACUUCCGGCAGGACUAACAAAGCGACAUGGCUGACUUGACUUGACUUGUCUCGGCUAAAACUUGACUGCGAGGCUCCAAAAAGUGAACGCAACUCGCAACUUGUGACGACGACUCUUGGAUAGAGGAUGGAGGCAGGAGCUGCACCACUCGAGGAGGCGCCUCCUGAUGUCUCAGGCAACUGGAAAUGGGAAACGGAAACGGACUCAAAAGGCAUGCACCACCAAUAAUAAUAAUCAGCUGCGUCAGCCGCAAACUUGAUGCUUUGCAGCUUGUCCUCGGGGGAGGCAUAAAGCGACGCUCCACGUUCCAUCUUUGCGGGGUAAGUUGUGGUGUGAGUUUGAGUUGUUGGCAUUGGGGCUUGCCUCGUCCGAAAGUUUUGUGAUUUGCUUUGAUUUGGCAAGGCAGGCACGCAUCAUUGACGAGCCGUGGGGCACAGUUACAGUUGGAGAUACAGAUACAUGCCGCAUCGAGUCAUUAAUUUCAAUUUUGGCCAGAGCACGACCGAGCAACAGAAGCAGCAGCAGCAGCAGCCUGAUAUGAUUGAAGGGUUCUGCUCUUAGUUGUUCAGAGACAAAAAUUAUUUAUUUACAAGCAUUUCGGGUUUGCGUGCCACAGCAGCAGGAAAAGGAACAACUUCAACCACGUUCCGAAGCAGCUUCUGUGCCAAGAGAGAGAGAGAGAGCCUUGCAGUCAUUUUGGCCAAAUAAACAAUAAAUUAAAUUGCCACAUUUGAUUGCAGGCUGCCAGAGGGGAAAGAAGGAAUGGGAGGAGAACGAGAAGGAGAGGGAGCACAGCCUACGUCAAACUUGUGGAGGCCAAGCAAAGUAUUUGAUAUGCCCCAUGUGGCAUGCGUCAGUUGCCUAAAUGACUAAAUGUAUGGCUAUACAUUAUGCAGGCUGCUCUGCUCUGCUCUGCCACAGUCAUAACAUAAAUUUACUCUCCCCCCCGCAGUUGUUGUCUCUUCUUUUCUCAUUCCUACUCAAAGUUACGAUCGUUAUUACGCAUUUAUUUAAAAAUAUCAUCAAAAAGAAAUGCAAUCGAAUGCGACUGCGAAUUUCGAAUUCAAUUGUGAAUCUCGUAUUCGAAUAUGUAGGAAAACCGCAGCCUGAGGCCAGCACUCGACGUGCCUCGCAAGAUUUAUGGGGCGAAAGGACAUUUUUCAUGCUGCGAAAUGCAAAACGCACAAAACGUUCAUUGAAAACACAUUUCCAGAAGCCAACAGCAGCAGCAGCCAAAUAGCUGGCAGCAAACAUAGAUUCGAAUUGGGAAAUUCAAUAAAGCAUUACGUAAUAUUGCCAAGUUACACACACACACUUAUACACACAUACAUACAUGCAGUCGCACACACUCUUGUAAUGCAAGGCUAGCCAUGUGAGUGCAAUAAUUUACAACAUUUUAAUCGAAUUAGAUGCAGCCAGAGACAACUUUAGAGAGGACCAAAAGAGGGAGACUAAAAGGCGGCGGCUUGAGUGAGCGGCCAAAAAGCAAAAUGCAUUUUAAGUGUUGCAAGCGGGAAGAGAAGGGAAGGGAUGAUAAGGGAAGGGAAGUCAGGCAACUGGCAUUUGCUGCAAGUGCCAGCGGCUAAAGCCAUAAGACAAAAAGAAAUUAUACAAACACAUACACACACACACACACUCUGCGCAAAAAAGAAGCAGCGAAGCGAUGCGAUUUUAUUUUGAACAUGUGCCAACAAAUGUUUGUUGCCAUUAUUCUUGUUAUUGCUGCAACUUAUUGUUGUUGCUGUAGCUUACUGGUAACGUUGUUGCCAUUGUUUUAUUGUUAGCUUAACUUUUGACUAGCUAAACUUGUGCCACGCCCUGUGAAAUUUAAUAAAACUCCUUUUAGCUAAAAUAACAGCGCGAACAAUUUAAUGUUGUACGUUUUUAGAGUUUUUUAAUGCAUAUUCUAUGUAUUAUGAAAUAGUAAUUUGCUUGCUUAUAUUAAUGAAACGUAAGUGGAGGCAACUAGAAAGAAACUAAAUUAUCGGUUAGCAUUAGUAAGUCGAUAGGCACUUAGCUAUCGAUACAAGUAAUCGGAAGAAGUA